rnacentral:rRNA from 1 species
AGCGAACGCUGGCGGCAGGCCUAACACAUGCAAGUCGAACGAACUCUUCGGAGUUAGUGGCGGACGGGUGAGUAACACGUGGGAACGUGCCUUUUGGUUCGGAAUAACUCAGGGAAACUUGUGCUAAUACCGAAUGUGCCCUUCGGGGGAAAGAUUUAUCGCCAUUAGAGCGGCCCGCGUCUGAUUAGCUAGUUGGUGAGGUAACGGCUCACCAAGGCGACGAUCAGUAGCUGGUCCGAGAGGAUGACCAGCCACACUGGGACUGAGACACGGCCCAGACUCCUACGGGAGGCAGCAGUGGGGAAUCUUGCGCAAUGGGCGAAAGCCUGACGCAGCCAUGCCGCGUGAAUGAUGAAGGUCUUAGGAUGGUAAAAUUCUUUCACCGGGGACGAUAAUGACGGUACCCGGAGAAGAAGCCCCGGCUAACUUUGU